rnacentral:rRNA from 1 species
AGUGAACGCUGGCGGCGUGCUUAACACAUGCAAGUCGAACGAGAACGGGCUAUAGCUUGCUAUAGUUGUCAGCUAAGUGGCGCACGGGUGAGUAAUGUAUAGGUAAUAUGCCUCUUACUAAGGGAUAACAAAUGGAAACGUUUGCUAAUACCUUAUACUCCUUAUUAACAGUGGUUAAUAAGGGACAGAUUUAUUGGUAAGAGAUUAGCCUGUAUUGUAUCAGUUAGUUGGUGGGGUAAUGGCUUACCAAGACUAUGACACAUAACUGGUUUGAGAGGAUGAUCAGUCACACUGGAACUGAGAUACGGUCCAGACUCCUACGGGAGGCAGCAGUGGGGAAUAUUGCACAAUGGACGAAAGUCUGAUGCAGCAACGCCGCGUGGAGGAUGACACAUUUCGGUGCGUAAACUCCUUUUAUAUGAGAAGAUAAUGACGGUAUUAUAUGAAUAAGCACCGGCCAACUCCGUGCCAGCCGCCGCCGUAA